UAUGUGAUCGUCUCUCGCAUAUCAAUAAGCGGAGGAAAAGAAACUAACAAGGAUUCCCCUAGUAACGGCGAGUGAAGCGGGAAGAGCUCAAAUUUGAAAUCUUAAAGGGUUUCCCUUUACGAAUUGUAGUUUAAAGAAGUGUUUUCUGUUGAGGUUUUGGUAAAAGUUCUUUGGAAUAGGACAUCAUAGAGGGUGAGAAUCCCGUAUUUGACCUUUACUUUCAACUUUGUGAUACACUUUCAAAGAGUCGGAUUGUUUGGGAAUGCAGUCCAAAAUGGGUGGUAAAUUUCAUCUAAAGCUAAAUAUUGGCGAGAGACCGAUAGCGAACAAGUACCGUGAGGGAAAGAUGAAAAGAACCUUUGAAAAGAGAGUUAAACAGUACGUGAAAUUGUCAAAAGGGAAGCGUUUGACACCAGUGUUGUUUUUCUGAAAAUCAAUUAAAGAACUGUUUAUGCUAAGCUGUUUAGACUUUAUCAGCUAUCUGUUUAGUUUUGAGCUUUUCUUUAAUGCACUUUUCAGUUAACAAGUCAACAUCAAUUUCUUUUGCUGUAAAAAAGCUUGAGGAAGGUGGCUUGAGAUUCGUCUUAAGUGUUUAUAGCCUCUUGCCUAUGCAGUCGGAGAGAUUGAGGUCUGCAGCGUAGAUCCUUCGGGGCUAAAUGCAUUUGUGCUAAGUUAUAGCAUUUUAUAGACAACUUGUUGACUAUGAUUUGUCUUGUAGCUUACUCGCUUAUGUUAUUUUACCUACGCUUAGGAUGUUGAGCGCAUGUCUCUCUCU
rnacentral:rRNA from 1 species